rnacentral:lncRNA from 1 species
GUAAACUACGAUUAUACUACUUCAAUAUAUAGAGACUCUGUAUUCUGUCUACAGUUUUCUUUGAAAUGCUAACGUUUACUAUCUAAGGGGUUCAUACCAGUUGCAUAUAUAUUAAAAUAAGUAAAACAUGUGACACAAGAACAACCAAUCGUAUGAUAGAUAACAAAAAUGAAAAAUAAAUAAGCCAUUCAGAGCGUUCUCCAUAUCAUGGUGUUUAGAUCGCAAGAUGAUCACAACUGUUAUACCGCCUUAGAGUGGACAAUUAUUUUUCGCGUUUCAUAUCAUGGUGUUUAGAUCGCAAGAACC